rnacentral:rRNA from 1 species
UGGCGGCAUGCCUAACACAUGCAAGUCGAACGAUGCCUUCGGGCAUAGUGGCGCACGGGUGCGUAACGCGUGGGAAUCUGCCCUUGGGUUCGGAAUAACUCAGAGAAAUUUGAGCUAAUACCGGAUGAUGACGUAAGUCCAAAGAUUUAUCGCCCAAGGAUGAGCCCGCGUAAGAUUAGCUAGUUGGUGGGGUAAAGGCCUACCAAGGCGACGAUCUUUAGCUGGUCUGAGAGGAUGAUCAGCCACACUGGGACUGAGACACGGCCCAGACUCCUACGGGAGGCAGCAGUGGGGAAUAUUGGACAAUGGGCGAAAGCCUGAUCCAGCAAUGCCGCGUGAGUGAUGAAGGCCUUAGGGUUGUAAAGCUC